rnacentral:lncRNA from 10 species
AGUGCGGGGCGGGCGGCGCCGGGGGCUCUUCAGGCUCAGGGCAUAGGCAGGCGGCGGCCGCGUUUUCUGGAGACGGUCGCUCUCGGAGGGACCCUGCAAUUGCCCGAGACCGAGAGUGGGCGCUGCCUGAAAGUUUGUCCCUGGGCGCUUCGCUGGCCUCAUCCGGUCUCGGCCUUGUUCUGGGCCUGGCGCCUUUCCCAUUGUUGGGGAAAGUGGUCUAGGAGACCAAGGCAGCGUGCUGGGUGGGAGAGAAUGAUUUGUGGCUUCUGAUUCUGACAUAUGUCGUUAAGGAGGGGAGGGAUGAGUGACCCUGUUUUACUUAUGGAGAACCUGGGGCCAGAGCUGUUUUCCCAGGGUGACACAGGCGGUGAGUAGUGGAGCUGGCAUUCCUGACCCCAAAGCUCAGCGUUUCCCAGCCACUCUCCGCAGCCAGGCCUUCACCUGCACUGCUGGGCGCAGGUGGGGAAGUGGGGAAACGGUGCUCCAUCCCCUGCAGAGGGCAGGCGUGCGGGGAGCGGUGGCUGAACUCCACAGACAGCUACUGCUCAGCUCUUCAGCUGCCGGCUUUGAAGAGUGUGAGGGGCUCUGGGCAAGAGGCCCCCACAUUACUCAAGGACCAGAUCAUCAAGAGCUUUACUUGUCCCACAAAGGAGUCUGGACCUCGUUUAAGUGCACAGGAGACCGCUGGAAGGUCCUCAGUGGCGUGCCAUGGCCCGACUUCUAUUUGAGAAGUUUUUCUCUGGCCACCCGUCUAAGGAAAGGUAUCUGGGUGGGUGGUGCGGGUGAGAACAAUGGUGGUGCGGUGCUUGGCGGAGAAGGUGAGUGUCCAGAGAUGUUCAGGAAGAAGAACUGACAGCUCUGGAUGACAGGAGGUGGAAGUGAGAAGGAAGCAGGUACAAGGCCGGCUCCUGGGUCUCUAGCCCGGUAGGUGCAGGGCCGUUCAUGGAGACAGGGCUUCUGGAGGAGCAGCGGGUCUGGGGAGAUGAUAGUGAGCUCCAAUUUGCAUGGGACAUCCAAAGGGCAUUGAACGGUGGGCAGUUGGAGACGUGGGUCUGGAGCUUGGGACUUCAGCCUAGCUUGCAGAAAGUCACCACUGAUAUAGAAAUGGAACCUAUGGCCGGGUGCGGUGGCUCACACCUGUAAUCCCAGCACUUUGGGAGGCCAAGGUGGGCGAAUCAGAUCAGGAGAUCGAGACCAUCCCGGCCAACAUUAUGAAACGCCGUCUCCACUAAAUAUACAAAAAAUUAGCCGGGCGUGUUGGCGGGCGCCUGUAGUCCCAGCUAUUCGGGAGGCUGAGGCAGGAGAAUGGCCUGAACCCGGGAGGCAGAGCUUGCAGUGAGCCCAGAUCACACCACUGGGGAACAGAGCGAGACUCUGUCUCAAAAAAAAAAAAAAAAAAAAAAAGAAAUGGAGCCUAUGGGGGUGGCUGUGAUCAGGGGGAUGUGCUGAGGAGAACCUGGCGUAAGUGUUUCAUUAAGCCAUAGCUCCCAAAGACUUUCUGAAAAGCUAAGUUACAGCCUGAAAGAAAAGAUCUUCAGAGGCUAUAUUUGAUAAAAGACUUGUAUCCAGAAUAUAGAAAGAGCACUUAAAAUCAAUAGAUAAAAUCAAACAAUUCAAUUUUUUAAAUGGACAAAAUAUUUAAACAGACACUUCACCAAAGAAGAUAUACAGAUAGAAAAUUGAAAGACAUGAAAAGAUGCUCAACAUCAUUAAUAAUUAAGGAUAUGCAAAUUACAAGCACAGUGUGACACCGUCUCACACCUACUAGAAUGGACAAAGAAGACUGAUUAUACCAAGUAUUCGAAAGAAUGUGGAGGACCUGGGAUUCUUGUACACUGCUUAUGGGAUUAUAAAAUAGUAUCACUACAAUUGAAAAUCAUUUGGCAGUGUAUGAAGAGAGUUAAACAUACUCCUACCAUAUGACCUAGCCAUUUCAAUCCUAACUAUUGACAGUAUUGAGUUGCACCUUAGCCCUUUGCUCCUAGAAAUAGUGAAGAUUAAGGAAUCCCUCCACUCCUUUGUUCCAGAAAACACCCUACUGGAAAGAACCAGUGACUUUCCAUAUAGCUUGGAUAAGAAUCCUGAAUGUCCCCUCAUGACCAGACCAUACACAGACCCUCUAAAUUCCCAUUCUUGGCAUCAUAAAUGAUUAGCUGGACUGCUUGUUCCCACAGAUCAAUAAGAACAAAAUGCCUGUAACCAAACCUUGGUUCAGAUUCUCUCCUUCUCCAAGCCCCUGAGCUUUGGCCCACCCGCAGCUUGUGCCAACCCACCGCCCUCCUGAGGGUCCCUCCUGAGAACAGGCUAUCUGCAUGGUAAGACCUGCUCGAUCAUGACACUCUUGCUCAGCUCACUUUCCCAUAACAGUUCUUUCUAGCCACGUUUACGCCUCCCUAUACAAGGUCAGCCCUUUGCCUAACCUCUGAGACACUUGAGGAUCACAUCGUCAGACUGUCUCCUUAUUGUAAUAGUCCCCCCCCCAACCCCCACAACAAUCCUUUUGAAUAAAUUCUCUUUUUAUGGAAUCCA